CUGAGUUUUAUAAAUCCAUUUGGUGGUAUCCUAGGAAUUUAAUCCUUAUGAUCAACCUGGAAUUUGUAAGUUGCUCAAAAAGCAGUGAAUUCCUUGUAGUAAGAGCCCCAAAAAAUAGUCGCUUCACUUAUUUGUUAUUGCAUUUAUUUCCUUUUUUCUUAAAUAUAAGUUCUCUCACACCAGACUCAUGAUGCAGGUUUAUUUCUCAAGACCCUGUUGUAUUGCUUUCUCUUCUUGUGAAGUUUCCAUUUCUAUGUGGGGGUCCUUUUCCUCAUCAUAAGUUGGGGAUGAUUGCACUUGGGACUUGAUCUGAUCUUGAUCACCUUCUUUGCCUAACAACAGCAGGUAUAGUCCAAUAAUAACAAUGGCUCCUCCCAGCAAGCUUCCUGUUUGCAGCUCUUCACCAAAGAAAAAGUAUGCCAGAAUUGCUACCAGUAUUGUUGAAAGGGGACUAAACAUAGUCACAAAGACUGGCCCCUUCUGUUUUGUGCACCACAGUUGAAGGAAGACUGUUAAAGCACAGAUUACAACUCCAGCGUAAACGAUGCACCAGAAGUUGAUGUCGAAUGUAAUGUACCAUGCUUCCAGUUUGUGUUGUAUACACAAUGUGAAGACAGCUGAUUGUAGUCCCCCAAGAAAGUUUAUCAUGGCAGUCAGUGAUAGCUGUGCAGGAUACUUCUUCAAUGUAUAUACCUGCAUAAUGAACCACAUAGACGAUGUUAUGCAACUUGCAGCAAGUAGAAAUGACCCUUUUAUCCAGUUUUGUUGAGCAGGAUUACUUCUAAUAUGAAUCGGAGCACCCUGCAAGCUUCGCACCUCAGGUCCCUUGUAAAAGGUGAGUGUCAAGGCCCCUGCCAGGGACAUUAAUGCUCCAAGGAUUUUGGCUAUCCCACGAGGAUUCCUUACAUCAACAACCUCCAACCUGAGAAUAGUAGCAAAUAUAAAAGUAAUACUGGGAAUGGUGUUGGUCAUUGAUGUAAUAAAGGCAGGAGAGGUGUAUUUCAAGCUUGAAAAGUACAUGUUGAGGGUCAAGCUAGCCCCUAGGAGAGAGAGUACAAAUAUCUCCAGAAACAAGGGAAAUGUCAUCUUUGGCCUUACUUUUCUUUCAAGAAAAUAUGCAAAAG
rnacentral:misc_RNA from 1 species